rnacentral:rRNA from 1 species
GCGCGAAAAACUUUACAAUGCGGGAAACCGUGAUAAGGGGACACCGAGUGCCAGCAUCAUAUGCUGGCUGUCCAGAUGUGUAAAAUACAUCUGUUAGCAAGGGCCGGGCAAGACCGGUGCCAGCCGCCGCGGUAACACCGGCGGCCCGAGUGGUGAUCGUGAUUAUUGGGUCUAAAGGGUCCGUAGCCGGUUUGGUCAGUCCUCCGGGAAAUCUGAUAGCUCAACUAUUAGGCUUUCGGGGGAUACUGCCAGACUGGAACCGGGAGAGGUAAGAGGUACUACAGGGGUAGGAGUGAAAUCUUGUAAUCCCUGUGGGACCACCUGUGGCGAAGGCGUCUUACCAGAACGGGUUCGACGGUGAGGGACGAAAGCUGGGGGCACGAACCGGAUUAGAUACCCGGGUAGUCCCAGCCGUAAACGAUGCUCGCUAGGUGUCAGACAUGGCGCGACCGUGUCUGGUGCCGCAGGGAAGCCGUGAAGCGAGCCACCUGGGAAGUACGGCCGCAAGGCUGAAACUUAAAGGAAUUGGCGGGGGAGCACAACAACGGGUGGAGCCUGCGGUUU